CCUACGGGAGGCAGCAGUGAGGAAUAUUGGUCAAUGGGCGGGAGCCUGAACCAGCCAAGUCGCGUGAGGGAAGACGGUCCUAUGGAUUGUAAACCUCUUUAGGCGGGGAGCAAUGCCGGGCACGCGUGCCAGGAGGGAGAGUACCCGCAGAAUAAGCAUCGGCUAACUCCGUGCCAGCAGCCGCGGUAAUACGGAGGGUGCGAGCGUUAUCGGGAUGUAUUGGGUUUAAAGGGUGCGUAGGUGGAUUUUUAAGUCAGCGGUAAAAGGUCCGGGCUCAACCGGGGCCGGCCGUUGAAACUGGGGAUCUUGAGUGGGCGAGAGGUAUGCGGAAGGCGUGGUGCAGCAGUGAAAUGCAGAGAUAUCACGCAGAACUCCGAUUGCGAAGGCAGCAUACCGGCGCCCGACUGACGCUGAGGCACGAAAGCGUGGGGAUCGAACAGGAUUAGAUACCCGGGUAGUC
rnacentral:rRNA from 1 species